rnacentral:lncRNA from 1 species
AUUGCCCCCAAUUGAUGGAGUUGAUGCGGGCAAGAAGAAACAAGAUGAGGAAUAAUAACCAGGUCCCCGUUGUGAGUUCUUUUUGUAAUAUGGUGAAGAUACAAGAUGAGGAAUAAUAACCAGGUCCACCUAUUGAGGCCUAAAAUUUUCUGUCUUCAGGCAAGGUUGAGAUACAGGGGAUUGUUCUCUUCGAACGGUUGUCAUAUUAGAUUGGAUGAGGAUUUUAAUUAUUUUGAUUGCGAGGACUAAUGAAUUAGGUAUGAGCACUCCUUUAACUAGGAGAAUCUAAAUGUUAGGGGUUGAAAAAAGGAAUGCAUUCUAUAAAUUUCUGUUGAUAAAAUAGUAGCUAGUUAUGGUUCCCUUCAUAAUAUAACUUCAAACAUGUUCCUACCAAUCUAAAAACAAUCCUUGAUACGGGUUGGCAGGUUGGCUUGGCUUGGCAGGGCAGAUUGGCUUGAAUCAACCACCUUGCCUCGCUUGGGUUGACUCAUGAGGUCGUGCACACUUUAUCUUCCAUGGUAAAGACUUAGUAUAUUUCACUCAUA